rnacentral:lncRNA from 1 species
CAAGAAUUAGCAGUGUUGUUUAGGGCUAUGGAUAGCCCAAAUUCAAUUCAAUUACAAACUCACAUCAUGCUGGCCGUUGGGUCUUGGCAGCUUGCAGCUUCCUGGCCUCGAGGAGAUCACCCUCCUGCAGUUUUGCUCGAGUACUGGCUGCCGUGUGCGCCAUUGCAUCUGUGAAACGCCAAGUUUGAGAUCACCCACGGGGCCACGGGCUGCGUUCAUUGAGAUCACACAUUAAACUUGUCAGAACACAGAGAGGGCAAAAAGGAUGAGGAGCAAAUAACUCUAGAGAGGGGCAUAACUACAAACGAUUUGGAUUACCUUUGUCUGUUGAUUGAAAAGAUGCAGGUUAAUCAUGUUUGGCAAGAAGUUGUGGAAGUUGAAUCAGAGUUGGGGGCCAUGAGUUGCUAACCAGUUACCUGAU